GUGACUUGCUCUCACAUGUUGCAAAACUUAGUAGUGGAAGCAGCUCUUUGCAAAUCGGGAGCCUCUAUCCACCUAACACACCACCAGUUUUCAUGAAGCAAGCAGCUGAGAACAGCUUCAUGUACAGCAGUGAGAAGAGUUUGAGAAACGCUCAUCAGUGUCUGGCUCCAGAUAGAGACUGCAUUCGAUAUGCAAGAUUCAGACUGUAGGAUCCAAUUCUACAGGGGGGCGCUUCCCAUCCGUGAAACUCUGGCAUGCCCAAACUCUCGUCUCAGUUCCUUCCUCUCUCAGGCCUCAACUCUUGACGGAUGACAAGAUUUGGGCUAACAAUUCCUGUGAUGACUACUGGCUAAAAAGUGUGCCUUCCCCUACCUCAAUCUCCUUUUGUA
rnacentral:lncRNA from 1 species